UGGGGAAUAUUGGACAAUGGGCGCAAGCCUGAUCCAGCAAUGCCGCGUGGAUGAAGAAGGUUUUCGGAUUGUAAAGUCCUUUCGGCGGGGACGAUGAUGACGGUACCCGCAGAAGAAGCCCCGGCUAACUUCGUGCCAGCAGCCGCGGUAAUACGAAGGGGGCUAGCGUUGCUCGGAAUGACUGGGCGUAAAGGGCGCGUAGGCGGAGUGCUUUGUCGGGCGUGAAAUUCCAGGGCUUAACCUUGGGGCUGCGUUCGAGACGGGUUGUCUAGAGUUUGGAAGAGGGUCGUGGAAUUCCCAGUGUAGAGGUGAAAUUCGUAGAUAUUGGGAAGAACACCGGUGGCGAAGGCGGCGACCUGGUCCUUGACUGACGCUGAGGCGCGAAAGCGUGGGGAGCAAACA
rnacentral:rRNA from 1 species